GUGAAUCAUCGAAUUUUUGAACGCAAAUUGCACUCUCUGGUAUUCCGGAGCGUAUGCCUGUUUGAGGGUCAGUUAAAAUAAAAAUCGGUGUGGUUGCUGCUUUUCGUGGUGACGCACCGGAUUUGGGUCGUCUUGCCUUCGGUUAAGUGACCUAAAUUUUUUCAUGAUUUUUUCGAACGUAUUAAAAUGUUUUUACGUACGUUUGUGAUAUCUAAUACUAUGUUCGGUCAUCCUCAUGCUCCGCGCCUAGA
rnacentral:misc_RNA from 1 species